AUGAAGACAAGAAUUCUACAUGUGCUGAGUGAAGAAAGUUUUCAGAGUAGGCAAUUCAAGAAACAAGAAACUGAUAAUCAUCAACAAAAUCUUGGCAAACAAACUUCCUUCAUAAUAAGAAGGAGAUACUCAGGUGAAGGUGAAAGAACACACAGCCAUCUAUAAACUUCAGCAUAAAAGAGCUGAAUAACAACACCAGUGUCCAUCAUCGUACCUCCCUGAAGGUGGGUGUUUAUGAGAAAUGUCCAGAGGACAAAAGUAAGGCAUGAAUUGGACAACCCCCGUUGGUAACUUACAUCCUGAAACAAGAGAUUUGAUUACCCUUAUCAUUAUCUCUGCUUGCUGAGCAGAGCUCCCAAAGCUAUUAGUGGUCAUAAAAUUACCCAGCUGUUUUUUAAAUUCAACCAUAGUAUUUGACUCAGUGACCUCUUCGGUCAAUGAAUUUCACAGGUUGACUAUACACAUUUAUAAGGCAUUAUUUACUUCAAUUUGUUCUGAAUUUACUGCCCCUUAUUUUUAUCAAGUGUCUCCUUGUCCUCAUCUUAUUAUGAGACAAGGUUAAAAAAAAAAGGUGUCCUUUGUAAUUCUGAAUGCUUCAAUCAAUGACUUUUCUAAAAUACACCAGAUUUUAGAAUCUUUUAUUAGGAAAAUGAAAAAUCUAGCUGUAUUCCAUCUAGUCUCUAUUAAUAUUUUAUUCUCACCAUGAUUUUUUAUUACUUGGCUGUGAAUUCAAUGCCUGUUAUACCUCCUCAUUCUAUUUCUUUCAUGUUACUAACAGCACAAGAAUGACAAUCAUGAAUAUGUAUCUUUUUCCAAUAAGAAAAUUCAGGUUUGUAAUGAUCUGAAAUGAUUAAAAUCUAAUAUGAUUUUCUAUUAAUUGAAAUAUUUUUCUUGGUAAAGCAAAUAUAUUCCAAAUACUUAAAUUUCAAGCUAACUGAACCAGAGCUUCCAUAAGUUUCCUUCAAUAAGGUAUUUUUGACAUUAUCUCCUCUAGAAUAGAUUCAUUUGUGAGAUUGUUCUGCAGUGAUUUGGAUCCACCAAAAUUAGAGGAGUGGAUAAGCUGAUUAUCUAGUCAUGUGAUUCUAUUGCAGUUCAUCUGAAUAAAGGAUUUUGUAUUUUACCA
rnacentral:lncRNA from 1 species